CAGUAUAAAAUAUAGGCGGAUGUUUCAAAAUGACAGAGAAGACGUUCUGUGCAGGCAAAUAACAUGAAGUCUCCUGUCCCUGCAUUAAUCUUUGUACUGGUUACAUUUGUGCAUUUCAACUCAGCCUCCUCAGAAUGGACUGGAGAUUUAAACGGAAAACUCGCUUUUUGGGACACAGGCGUCAACCUGGAGGGUGACGAUCAGACGCCAUGUUUUCAUUUUUGCGCCACGGACGGAGACUGUCCUGAUCCGUUGAGGUGCACUGUGAGCGGGUGUGGGCAUAUAUGCACAGACCCAAACCAAGACAAAUUAUGGGAUUUUGAUUUCAAUAUAAAAAAUAACUCGACGGAGCCGUGCGUCGAUAGCUGCAUGACUGACGACGACUGCCCGGACAACAUGAACUGCCUCAUGAGCGGAUGUGGACGCAUGUGCUUGGACGCAAGCCAGAAUUUUCCUUUCCCUAUUGAAAUGACUGGACUUUGUGGUUCAGCCUCUAACCUGGGAAUCAAUACACUGAUGCCGUGCAUUAAUCUGUGCUACGACGAUGAUGACUGCCCCGAAAGCAAGACGUGCGCCAUCCAGGGAUGUGGACGGAUGUGUAUGGACCCAACCACUGAAGGAACUGGACUGUGGGAUCUGGAUUCCGAUCUGGGAAAAGACCCGUUGGAUUCCAUUGGUUCAGAUUUGACCUCGGGAAUGGGACUCAAUCCGUGGGAUUUGGACCCUACUCUGGGAAAAGACCCGUUGGAUUCCAUUGGUUCAGAUUUCACCUCGGGAAGCGGACUCAAUCCGUGGGAUUUGGACCCUACUCUGGGAAAAGACCCAUUGGAUUCCAUUGGUUCAGAUUUGACCCCGGGAAUCGGACUCAAUCCAUGGGAUUUGGACCCCACUCUGGGAAAAGACCCAUUGGAUUCCAUUGGUUCAGAUUUGACCCCGGGAAUCGGACUCAAUCCGUGGGAUUUGGACUCCACUCUGGGAAAAGACCCGUUGGAUUCCAUUGGUUCAGAUUUGACCCUGGGAAUCGGACUCAAUCCGUGGAAUUUGGACCCCACUCUGGGAAAAGACCCAUUGGAUUCCAUUGGUUCAGAUUUGACCUCGGGAAUCGAUGAUGUAUUGCCUUUGCCUUUAGAAGCCCCUAAACUGUGUGGCUCAGAUUGCAAUCCGGGAAUGGACCCAUUGAUACCAUGUCUUAAUUCGUGCUCCAGCGAUGACGACUGCCCCAACAGCAUGAAGUGCUCCGUCCAGGGAUGUGGACGGACGUGCACUGCGUCAACUGACGGAGAGCCUCCUCUGGGGGAUUUGGACUCCACACCGGACAGUGAACCCUGGAACCCCUGUGUUGAUCUGUGCUCUAAUGACGACCAGUGUCCCGAAAACAUGAAGUGUGUGAAGAAGGGAUGUGAACGGCGGUGCGUGGCCUCAAACCAAGAUAAGAGUGAUGAGUGGUCUUGGAAAUUUGACGAAGGAGAAAAUCCUGAAGGAUGGGAGUGGAGCUCCGACGAGGAAACUGGUUUCAAGGAGUCAGACAUCGAGAAGCUGUGGGUUUGGGAUGAGGAUAAGGACAGUGACAGUUCCACUGCAGACCUUUUCAAAAAGCUUGCGCAGUUAAGGAACAAUUUGGAAGAUUUGGAGGGAAGUGCCACUUCAGGAUUUCUAGGUGAGUUCUUACAAAGAUGUAUUUUGCUCCUUGGCUAUUGGCCAGUCUAUAACUGUGCAACUCCAAUCACACCCAGCAGAUGGCAGUAUUGGAACGUUGUAAUAGAAAAGCCCUGACACUGGCGCCACAGUUUCUUCAGCCUCAUAUGGGUGCAAACUGAAGGCGUG
rnacentral:lncRNA from 1 species